GGAGGCGCUAGCCCCUUCCCCCUUGCAACCGCCUACCAGAUCUGCUCUCCCCCUCUUGCAGGCAUCCAAACAUCAGGUCCAGGAUCUAGAAUCUCUUGAGAAGAGGUUGGUACAAGUCUCUCUCAGAUAUGAGUUGAUCUGAAGUCGUUUGAGAUGCGGGUGAGAUCUCCAUCAACAGAUCUACAAAAAGGCUGCAGUAGGACAGAUCUGCGAGGUCUGUCUCCAUCUAUCUUCUUCCCUAUCUAGAAUAUCC
rnacentral:lncRNA from 1 species